rnacentral:rRNA from 1 species
UACGUAGGGUGCAAGCGUUGUCCGGAAUUAUUGGGCGUAAAGAGCUCGUAGGCGGUCUGUCGCGUCGGCUGUGAAAACCCGAGGCUCAACCUCGGGCCUGCAGUCGAUACGGGCAAACUAGAGUACUGCAGGGGAGACUGGAAUUCCUGGUGUAGCGGUGAAAUGCGCAGAUAUCAGGAGGAACACCGGUGGCGAAGGCGGGGUCUCUGGGCAGUAACUGACGCUGAGGAGCGAAAGCGUGGGGAGCGAACAGG